rnacentral:rRNA from 1 species
GACGGAGGGUGCAAGCGUUGUUCGGAAUCACUGGGCGUAAAGCGCGUGUAGGCGGUUCAAUAAGUCAAGCGUGAAAGGCCGAGGCUUAACCUUGGGAGUGCGCUUGAAACUGUUGGGCUUGAGUACGGGAGAGGGAAGUGGAAUUCCUGGUGUAGAGGUGAAAUUCGUAGAUAUCAGGAGGAACACCGGUGGCGAAGGCGGCUUCCUGGACCGAUACUGACGCUGAGACGCGAAAGCGUGGGGAGCAAACAGG